AGUAAACAAAUGAGUGGCCUUUUGUGGUGAUCAGAGUAGCGCAGCGAGAUGAUGGCAAGUGAUACUUAUGAGGGGUAAAAGGUGUGUGGAAAGAACCAUCUUACUUGUGAACAACAAAUGUGUCGUUCUUACGAGUAUCAGUUAAGGAUGUUCAGUUACCAGUUAAAGUUGGAAUUAUGAAGUUGCUCGAAGAAAGUUGUGCAAGAGAAGUAGGGGAUGGUUUGAGUCAUGAUUUCAAGUUAGGGUGCCAACUUGGAAGUGAGGAAGUGAGAGUAGAUGUCUAGCCAGAGAAGGGAAUUGAAGAUCCUUGAUUUGAUGAAGUAAGAGUGAGAGUUGGUUGAGAACCAUAAGUGUUUGGGUUGGGAAGAGAAUGUGUAAGGGAUUUCAUUAGUCUCGUCAUCUUAUUAGCACUAGUGAACCUCUCAACAAGGUUGAGAAAAACCAAAUCGGAAUAUCUUAGUUUGAGGUGUAUCGUGGAGUUGCGUGGUACGGACCAGGCUAGAAAUUUGAAGUCAAUGGAAGUUAUGAUUUUGAGGUUUUGUGGAAUGUUGCCUAUAAGUUAGGGGGGGAUUAAAGAUGAAGAUGGGAUGCCGAUGCGAUAUGGUGAAGAAAGCAGUUGAAGGUUUAAAUGAGAAGAAGGUGUAGGAGUCUCAAUAUACAUAAAAGUGGUCAAAAGUGUUGAUGGUGCGGCGGUAGGUCAACACUCAAGAGUGAUCAAGUCAGUGGGGUGAUGCAUAAAGGAGUGAACAGGGUGAUGUGAAGUGAUAACGAGCGUGCCUUGGUUGGAGACUUAAGGACAUCUGAGAAGUUGAUAAAAACCUACAAGAGGUAGCGGAGAAAAUAUAGAAAGUGAGUAAGUAUGUUAGAUACAAGUUAGUGGGGCAUGCAUGGAGGAGCAUUCGGAUUUUAAGGCCGGAGGAUUUGGAGUGCUUCAAGAGUAGUGACUAAUUUGAUCUACAUAGUUGGACACAUAUCGCUUAGCACAGAGGCAAAGUUUCCAAUGACUAUAGGUGUGGGAGUCGUUGUAUAUGUCGUGUUUGAGUAGUGGUUCCCAGAGGAGAUAAGGAGAACAUAGCUCCUUCCUAUCUCAUCGAUGAAUUUUCGAGGACGAAAAUUUUCUUGUUGGGGAGAAUGUAAGGUCCCAUUUUGUUUUCCAGCCCUAAAAGUUAGUGGGCUGCCCCUAGGUGGGCCUAAAGGUUGGCCCAAUGUAUGUAAACCCUGCUAUGUUGCCCUAAUCCCACCUCACAUUCACUCUUUCAGAACCAGCCGUCGCUCCUCCCUCUUCGUGCCGCUAGAGCUCUGCUAGGGUUGCCCUGAGGUCCUCCCCGAGCUAGCUCAAAGCUCCAGUCUUACUUCCCGCACGACUUCCUAACCCGUCUCCCGAACUGCUGUGCUCCACUACCUUUCUUGGGUUGCUACUCUCUUCUGCUAGCAUUUAACAAGAUGAGAGGGAGGUUCGUGAUGGAUCCGGGAGACGCAGCGGUGCGGCCUAGACUUCCCUGUCUGGAUGUCUUAGGAAUAGUUUCAGGGCCAUGAGGCCUUUUGUAUUAGUUGCCUUAGUGGCAACCUUUUUGCAAAACUGUUGCACCCCUUUUUAAAAUUUCCUUUUGCUUAGGACUAUGUGGUAUGCCUAAGUUUCUUUUAAGUGACUCCGGAUGACUGUAAUAGUUACCCUUCUUACGUUUCAUGUUUAUUCGAUUGGCUCUCGUUAUCAAAAUUUUAUGACGCUUUAUUUGGUAGAUUAAUC